GACGAACGCUGGCGGCGCGCUUAACACAUGCAAGUCGAACGGAAAGGCCUGCUUUCCCUUGUGGAUUGCGGGUACUCGAGUGGCGAACGGGUGAGUAACACGUGAGUGAUCUGCCCCCAACUUGGGUAUAAGCCUGGGAAACUGGGUCUAAUUCCCGAUAGGACUGCAGGGUGGUGCCUGUGGUGGAAAGCGAUUUUCUAGUGGUUGGGGAUGAGCUCGCGGCCUAUCAGCUUGUUGGUGGGGUAAUGGCCUACCAAGGCGGCGACGGGUAGCCGGCCUGAGAGGGUGGACGGCCACAUUGGGACUGGGAUACGGCCCAGACGCCUACGGGAGGCAGCAGUGGGGAAUAAUGCACAAUGGGCGGAAGCCUGAUGCAGCGACGCCGCGUGGGGGAUGACGGCCUUCGGGUUGUAAACUCCUUUCGACCGCGAGGAAGCCACCUGGUUGGAAGGGUGGUGACGGUAGUGGUAGAAGAAGCACCGGCUAACUACGUG
rnacentral:rRNA from 1 species